rnacentral:lncRNA from 1 species
AAGUACAUACACAUCUGUAGGAAUGCUGAGAAACAAACAAAAAAAAACACAAAGAACUCCACCAAAACAACAUAAAACCAUCCAAACAAGAGGGACCAAAGCCAACAGAGCUACUCAGUAGAGCUUGAGUUUGCAGCCUCUUCAUCAGCACCAGAAGCAGAAUUGCCACUAGCAUCAUCAUUGUUAGCAGACCUCUCACUAGAGGUGUGGGCUUCAGCUUCUUCUUCAUGGAUGACAUUAGCAUAUUCAACAUUUUCAUUC